rnacentral:rRNA from 1 species
CACACUAUCAUUAACUGAAUCCAUAGGUUAAUGAGGCGAACCGGGGGAACUGAAACAUCUAAGUACCCCGAGGAAAAGAAAUCAACCGAGAUUCCCCCAGUAGCGGCGAGCGAACGGGGAGCAGCCCAGAGCCUGAAUCAGUGUGUGUGUUAGUGGAAGCGUCUGGAAAGGCGCGCGAUACAGGGUGACAGCCCCGUACACAAAAAUGCACAUGCUGUGAGCUCGAUGAGUAGGGCGGGACACGUGGUAUCCUGUCUGAAUAUGGGGGGACCAUCCUCCAAGGCUAAAUACUCCUGACUGACCGAUAGUGAACCAGUACCGUGAGGGAAAGGCGAAAAGAACCCCGGCGAGGGGAGUGAAAAAGAACCUGAAACCGUGUACGUACAAGCAGUGGGAGCACAGAGCAAUCUGUGUGACUGCGUACCUUUUGUAUAAUGGGUCAGCGACUUAUAUUCUGUAGCAAGGUUAACCGAAUAGGGGAGCCGAAGGGAAACCGAGUCUUAACUGGGCGUUAAGUUGCAGGGUAUAGACCCGAAACCCGGUGAUCUAGCCAUGGGCAGGUUGAAGGUUGGGUAACACUAACUGGAGGACCGAACCGACUAAUGUUGAAAAAUUAGCGGAUGACUUGUGGCUGGGGGUGAAAGGCCAAUCAAACCGGGAGAUAGCUGGUUCUCCCCGAAAGCUAUUUAGGUAGCGCCUCGUGAAUUCAUCUCCGGGGGUAGAGCACUGUUUCGGCAAGGGGGUCAUCCCGACUUACCAACCCGAUGCAAACUGCGAAUACCGGAGAAUGUUAUCACGGGAGACACACGGCGGGUGCUAACGUCCGUCGUGAAGAGGGAAACAACCCAGACCGCCAGCUAAGGUCCCAAAGUCAUGGUUAAGUGGGAAACGAUGUGGGAAGGCCCAGACAGCCAGGAUGUUGGCUUAGAAGCAGCCAUCAUUUAAAGAAAGCGUAAUAGCUCACUGGUCGAGUCGGCCUGCGCGGAAGAUGUAACGGGGCUAAACCAUGCACCGAAGCUGCGGCAGCGAC